rnacentral:tRNA from 1 species
CAAAUUAAAGUUUAUUUAUAAAUAUUUCAUUUACAUUGAAAAGAAAUUGAUUUAUCAUUUAAUUUGA